UGGGCAGCCCAACAUUAGACUAAAUUAAAACGAAAGAUCAAAAGUGCAACAUUUUAAGAGGUUAAAAUUGAACAAAGAGAAAAUGUAUCUUUUUCUCGUAUAGUUAAUUAUAGAUUGGAGUGUUCUCCAUAAUUUCGGUGUCAUGUAUUGGUUCACUCACUCAAAAACGCGUCGAGAAUCGUAUCUUUUUAAGUUGUUCCGUUCUUACAUCGAUUCUGUAUUGCCCUCAGGCACCCAUUAAGCCUCUUCAAUCGAUCUUCUUCAAAAUGCUUCGUCUUUGCAAUUGAUUCAUACUUAAUUUCCUUGACCCCCAAAUUCUGUUUUCCAGAUUCAGUUGCGGGAAAAUGGAUGCUUUGAUUUGAUUUCUCUUGGGAAUGGCAUGGCAUUCUCUAUCACCUUCUUCAAAUCCUCCGCUCUCUUUCUCACCAUUCUCUCUGUUUUCAUCUUCUUCGUCCUCUUCACUCCCUAUCCCUCGCCGGAAUCCCCCUCCAGAAGGUCCCUCAUCGCCACCGGCGAUUCCAAUUCCAGUUUCUCUCCGACCCCAUCUUGUUCCUCUGUUGAAUCUCACUCUGAUGGCCUUAUUAACUACUUAUAUUUCCAUUUUUGCUUCUUCGAUGAAAACCCAUCUCUCUCUGUCCCUUUUCUCACUCUCUUUCUUCUCCUCCAUUUCUACAUCCUCAUCAAAACCGCUCAAGAUCACUUCUCCAUUGUCACUUCCAAGCUCGCCUUUCACCUUAACUUGUCUCCCAGUAUGGCUGCUGUGACGCUCUUGGCUUUGGGUAAUGGCGCUCCUGAUGUGUUUGCAUCUGUUGCUGCGGUUCGUGGUGGCCAGUAUCGAACUGGGUUUGGUGCAAUUCUCUCUGCCGGCACGUUUGUUUCGGCUUUUGUUGUUGGGUUUGUGGCUAUUUAUGCUGCUCCGUUUUCGGUGAAUCCGGCUCAGUUUGUGAGGGAUGUGUUGUUCUAUUUGACUGCAGCAUUGUUUUUGUUCUAUGUGUAUCUUAGUGCAGAGAUUUUCUUGUGGCAAGCUGUUGGGUUUGUUGGGUUUUAUUUGUUCUUUGUUGGAUUGGUGUUUUGGAUGGAUUUGAGAAUGGGAAGUGGGAAAGCUAAGAGUGGGGGUGAUAUGGGAGUGACUAGAGAAGCUGAUGUCUUCCAUGGUGACUUGCCUAAAGACUGUGAGAUUGGAGAAGGCUACAGAAAUGCAGAUGAAGGAAAAACCAAUUCUGGAUUUUGGAAAGCUCUUCGAAUGAUCCGAAAAGCAUGGGAAGCUCCUGUUUCAUUUCUUCUGAAGCUCACCAUUCCCCAACCUGCACCUUCUGAAUGGAGCAGACUCUUUGCAUCGGCGAACAUUUCUCUCUGUCCUGUUGCGCUUCUAUUUGCCUGUAACUCAUUCAUGUCAUUUAAUCAUCCCAUUGCUUUCCUCUUACCAAAUACGCAUUUACCACUUUGGUUCGUAGUACUCCUAGCAAGCUCCUCUCUUGCAAUUCUACACUUUGUCAUGGAAACUGAGCCCCCAAAAACUGAGCAAGUUCCUAUUGUGCUUGCAGCAUUUGUCAUGAGUGUAUUUUGGAUUUCGACCAUUGCUGGGGAGCUGCUGAACUGUCUUGCAGUUCUUGGAGUGCUUCUUAAACUCCCACCAGCUCUACUUGGUCUUACUGUGCUUGCUUGGGGAAACUCAGUUGGGGAUCUUGUGGCUGAUGUUGCUCUUGCAAAAGCAGGCCAACCUUUGCUUGCUAUGGCUGGAUGCUUUGCAGGGCCAAUGUUUAACAUGCUUGUGGGACUUGGAACAGCUUUAGUUAUACAAACAGCUAACAGUUAUCCAGACGCCUACCAGCUUCAAUUUCAUAUCGGAAUCGUCAUUGCAUUCGUGUUCCUACUUUUCAGCCUGAUGGGUUCCCUACUUGUAAUUAUUUGGUGCAGAUUUCGAGUGCCCCGGUUUUGGGGAUUCUGCCUUGUACUGUUGUACAUUGUCUUCAUGGCCGCCAGUUUACUGAUGGCCAAGUUUUCUCCAUGAUUAAACAUCCUUCUAAAUUAUAAUCUGAAAGUAUAAGACCAAGAAACUCCAUUUAUGCCAAUGAAGCAGCGUUCGGACAACAACCGAGAAUAGUAGUUGCUAAUUGGCAGUUUAACUGGGCAGUGUAGACAUAAAACCAUCCCAUUUCCCCUCUCUGCCAACAACCUGAAGACAAUAUUAAGUUGGCAUGGUUGUUGGCUUGGAAUCAUGGAGGGAAGCCCUUUCACUAACACAAAAUUUAAAGUUGUUGAAAAGAGAAGUAACAAUGGAAGCUUCAUUUCAGAGUUGGGUUAGGAAGUUCACAGCUGAUGAAGAUAUUGUUCAUAUCUUUCUUAGUCAGAUGCAGAGAAGAUAUGGUGAAGCUCAUUUGAUAAAAUUCUUUAUUUAUUUAUUUUCUAGCAACUGUUGGAACAUGAACAAUUCUGAGGUUUGAUAAUUAGUUGGGAAUUGUGAAUCAAAUGCUUUUCAUUGAUUAAAAUGUACGUAAACAAAAUUUCUAUUACCAUGUCUAUCUGUUAAACGUAACAGACAAAGUUUUAAAUUCUAUCAAUCACGUUGACACACAAA